rnacentral:rRNA from 1 species
AUACGGAGGGUGCAAGCGUUGUCCGGAUUCACUGGGUGUAAAGGGUGUGUAGGCGGGGCGGUAUGUCAGAGGUGAAAGCCCACGGCUCAACCGUGGAAUUGCCUUUGAAACUGCCGUUCUUGAGUCUCGGAGAGGUCGCUGGAAUUCGUGGUGUAGCGGUGAAAUGCGUAGAUAUCACGAGGAACACCAGAGGCGUAGGCGGGCGACUGGACGAGAACUGACGCUGAGGCACGAAAGCGUGGGGAGCAAACAGGAUUAGAAACCCCAGUAGUCC